GGGUUGUGAGGUUAAGCGACUAAGCGUACACGGUGGAUGCCCUGGCAGUCAGAGGCGAUGAAGGGCGUGCUAAUCUGCGAUAAGCGCCGGUAAGGUGAUAUGAACCGUUAUAACCGGCGAUACCCGAAUGGGGAAACCCAGUGUGAUUCGUCACACUAUCAUUAACUGAAUCCAUAGGUUAAUGAGGCGAACCGGGGAACUGAAACAUCUAAGUACCCCGAGGAAAAGAAAUCAACCGAGAUUCCCCAGUAGCGGCGAGCGAACGGGGAGGAGCCCAGAGCCUGAAUCAGCAUGUGUUUUAGUGGAAGCGUCUGGAAAGGCGCGCGAUACAGGGUGACAGCCCCGUACACAAAAGCGCAUGUGCUGUGAGCUCGAUGAGUAGGGCGGGACACGUGGUAUCCUGUCUGAAUAUGGGGGGACCAUCCUCCAAGGCUAAAUACUCCUGACUGACCGAUAGUGAACCAGUACCGUGAGGGAAAGGCGAAAAGAACCCCGGCGAGGGGAGUGAAAAAGAACCUGAAACCGUGUACGUACAAGCAGUGGGAGCACAGGUUUACCUGUGUGACUGCGUACCUUUUGUAUAAUGGGUCAGCGACUUAUAUUCUGUAGCAAGGUUAACCGUAUAGGGGAGCCGCAGGAAACCGAGUCUUAAUUGGGCGUUAAGUUGCAGGGUAUAGACCCGAAACCCGGUGAUCUAGCCAUGGGCAGGUUGAAGGUUGGGUAACACUAACUGGAGGACCGAACCGACUAAUGUUGAAAAAUUAGCGGAUGACCUGUGGCUGGGGGUGAAAGGCCAAUCAAACCGGGAGAUAGCUGGUUCUCCCCGAAAGCUAUUUAGGUAGCGCCUCGUGAAUUCAUCCCCGGGGGGUAGAGCACUGUUUCGGCUAGGGGGCCAUCCCGGCUUACCAACCCGAUGCAAACUGCGAAUACCGGAGAAUGUUAUCACGGGAGACACACGGCGGGUGCUAACGUCCGUCGUGAAGAGGGAAACAACCCAGACCGCCAGCUAAGGUCCCAAAGUCAUGGUUAAGUGGGAAACGAUGUGGGAAGGCCCAGACAGCCAGGAUGUUGGCUUAGAAGCAGCCAUCAUUUAAAGAAAGCGUAAUAGCUCACUGGUCGAGUCGGCCUGCGCGGAAGAUGUAACGGGGCUAAACCAUGCACCGAAGCUGCGGCAGCGACACUGUGUGUUGUUGGGUAGGGAGCGUUCUGUAAGCCUGCGAAGGUGGCCUGUGAGGGUUGCUGGAGGUAUCAGAAGUGCGAAUGCUGACAUAAGUAACGAUAAAGCGGGUGAAAAGCCCGCUCGCCGGAAGACCAAGGGUUCCUGUCCAACGUUAAUCGGGGCAGGGUGAGUCGACCCCUAAGGCGAGGCCGAAAGGCGUAGUCGAUGGGAAACGGGUUAAUAUUCCCGUACUUGGUGUUACUGCGAAGGGGGGACGGAGAAGGCUAUGUUGGCCGGGCGACGGUUGUCCCGGUUUAAGCGUGUAGGUGUGUGUUCGGUAAAUCCGGUUCACUUUAACACUGAGGCGUGACGACGAGGCACUACGGUGCUGAAGCAACAAAUGCCCUGCUUCCAGGAAAAGCCUCUAAGCAUCAGGUAACAUCAAAUCGUACCCCAAACCGACACAGGUGGUCAGGUAGAGAAUACCAAGGCGCUUGAGAGAACUCGGGUGAAGGAACUAGGCAAAAUGGUGCCGUAACUUCGGGAGAAGGCACGCUGACACGUAGGUGAAGUGAUUUACUCAUGGAGCUGAAGUCAGUCGAAGAUACCAGCUGGCUGCAACUGUUUAUUAAAAACACAGCACUGUGCAAACACGAAAGUGGACGUAUACGGUGUGACGCCUGCCCGGUGCCGGAAGGUUAAUUGAUGGGGUCAGCGCAAGCGAAGCUCCUGAUCGAAGCCCCGGUAAACGGCGGCCGUAACUAUAACGGUCCUAAGGUAGCGAAAUUCCUUGUCGGGUAAGUUCCGACCUGCACGAAUGGCGUAAUGAUGGCGGCUGUCUCCACCCGAGACUCAGUGAAAUUGAACUCGCUGUGAAGAUGCAGUGUACCCGCGGCAAGACGGAAAGACCCCGUGAACCUUUACUAUAGCUUGACACUGAACAUUGAGCCUUGAUGUGUAGGAUAGGUGGGAGGCUUUGAAGUGUGGACGCCAGUCUGCAUGGAGCCGACCUUGAAAUACCACCCUUUAAUGUUUGAUGUUCUAACGUGGACCCGUAAUCCGGGUUGCGGACAGUGUCUGGUGGGUAGUUUGACUGGGGCGGUCUCCUCCUAAAGAGUAACGGAGGAGCACGAAGGUUGGCUAAUCUCGGUCGGACAUCAGGAGGUUAGUGCAAUGGCAUAAGCCAGCUUGACUGCGAGCGUGACGGCGCGAGCAGGUGCGAAGCAGGUCAUAGUGAUCCGGUGGUUCUGAAUGGAAGGGCCAUCGCUCAACGGAUAAAAGGUACUCCGGGGAUAACAGGCUGAUACCGCCCAAGAGUUCAUAUCGACGGCGGUGUUUGGCACCUCGAUGUCGGCUCAUCACAUCCGGGGCUGAAGUAGGUCCCAAGGGUAUGGCUGUUCGCCAUUUAAAGUGGUACGCGAGCUGGGUUUAGAACGUCGUGAGACAGUUCGGUCCCUAUCUGCCGUGGGCGCUGGAGAACUGAGGGGGGCUGCUCCUAGUACGAGAGGACCGGAGUGGACGCAUCACUGGUGUUCGGGUUGUCAUGCCAAUGGCACUGCCCGGUAGCUAAAUGCGGAAGAGAUAAGUGCUGAAAGCAUCUAAGCACGAAACUUGCCCCGAGAUGAGUUCUCCCUGAGACUUAGAGUCUCCUGAAGGAACGUUGAAGACGACGACGUUGAUAGGCCGGGUGUGUAAGCGCAGCGAUGCGUUGAGCUAACCGGUACUAAUGAACCGUGAGGCUUAACCUUACAACGCCGAAG
rnacentral:rRNA from 1 species